GUCAACACGUAAACGGCGUUGCGAUUCACCGAAAAUGGAGAUUAUUUAAAACUCCUUUUUUGCGUUUACGUGUGGACGAGGAUUACAGAGUUCGUCACGCAACGUCAAAGGAACCCAUCUGGAACACUUGUCUGAACUGAACAACACUCCACUCUGCUGACCACAGUGGCUGUCUGUAUGUGCAAAUGGACUUUAUUAUUUCCAUCAGGGGUGUCCAACUCCAGUCCAGAGAGCUACUGCCCUGCAGCUUUUAGACGCAUCAUUGUUCCGACACACCUGAUUCAAAUGAAUGGCUUGUUAUCAGGCCUUGCUGAAGAGACCACUCCACAGCCGAGAGUCAGCACACUGCAACAGCAUCAUCCACCCUCAAAAAGAUACUGGUUCCCGGCAUCACUAAAAAGGGAAAAGAGUUCAUCAGCCUGAUUACCUCCACCUAGACCUCAGCCUCCAUGGCACUACCCUUCAAGCCUGCUGCACCACCCCUCCGCUGCAGUGGAGCCAAACACCACACCCCCGCCACACACACCCCUGUGAGCGAGAGAGAAAAAAAAAAAAAAAAAAAAAUCAGCCACGACCAUCUGCACCCCCAGCCUAGGGAUCACCUUGAACUUAAAUGGCUGCAAAGCCAGAUACCACCAGGUGACCUGAGCAUUGGCAUCCGUCAUGUGGUGGAGCCAUUGUAGCAGGGCAUGGUCUGAGCAGAGCGUGAAUGAGCGUCCCAGGAGGUAACAGCGAAGGGAAAUGACGCCCGCUGGAUUGCAUGAUGCUCCUUUUCCACAGUGCUGUACCUCGUUUCUUGUUCUGUCAGCUUCUGGUCUGAUGUACAAGAUCAGGUGGUCGACCUGAUCUUGUACAUCGACUACAAAACUUACAAUGUUCCCAGGUAAUCAAUAUUUGCCCCUCUGGAUGCAAAGCAAAUGUCCACACAACAGUUGUCCCAUAGUUUUUCCAAGCAUGUCUGGAGUCACGGCAGCCACUGAUGUCGUUAUGCUACCUACUGGCAACUGUGUUAAACUCAUGCAAACUCAUAAAUCUCCUGUUUAAUGAUUGAAAACACAGUAGGUGUAAAGUAUUACUAAACUCAGAACACAAAAUCCUGUCCAUUCAGCAAACAGAGCGUUUAUUUUUCAAAUCAAGGCAAAAGUUCUGAACAUGGGGAGAGAGCCGGAAAACUCUUGGCACAUCAAAUUAAGUAAUCCAUAUCAGUUAACACGAUUUCUGAAAUCUGUGAAACCUCUGGAGAAAAGAUGUCCGAUCCGAAAAUGAUUAAUGACCAGUUUAAAAUGUUCUAGUCCAACCUUUACACUUCAGAUCCGCUUGAUAUAAAAAAACGUUGCUGAAAUGCCUGAUAGAUUACCGAUUCCACAAAUAUCCGUAAAUGACAGAACAGAAAUUGAUAGAGAGAUAACCAUUGGUGAAAUUGUUGAAGCAAUUAAAUCAAUAAAGUAACAAGGCACCGGGACCUGAUGGUUUCCCUAUUAAAUUAUAUAAAAUGUUUAUAGACAAACUAGCACCAAUACUCAAAGUUGUAUAGAGGAAAUAUUCUUUCAAGAGAAACUACCUGUUGGGUUUAUGUUUUAUUAUUUAUUUUCAUUUAUGCUUAGAAGUAUAUAAUCGUUUGUAGAUUGAAAGAAUGUCUCAUCCUGGGAGGUCUGUAACAAUUCUGUGUAGCGUGAAGAGGGGAGUGCGUUCACUCCUCUUCAGAGUGUUCUGGCAUAGAUCACACGCCUCCUAGGGUCAAGAGAGGUCGUAUCUUCUCCUGCUGAUAUAUGGUAUAGCAAACACACGUAUAUCUGUUUGAGUGUAAGAGCCUUUUGUUUAAGUGAACUGCUGGACUCCCUGGCUCCAGCAGGUGUGGGGAGUCUUCACAGGGUCACAUCUUGACCCCCCCCCACACCUACACGACACACGGA
ensembl:lncRNA